UUUAGAUAGGUAGGUAGAAUUGUUAGAUAAAAUAGUUAGAUAGAUAAAUUGAUAGUUAGAUAGAAUUGUUAGAUAUGAAAACUAAUUUAAUUUGGUAGGUUUUGUGUAUGAAAUGCAAUGAUAGAAGGAAUAGAGAAUACUCAUGAUACUAUUUAACUAGGUGGAUGUGCUUAUAGAUAGAUAAAUAGAUAAGAAGAUAGAAUUGUUAGAUAGAGAAAUAGAUAGUUAGAUAGAAUUUUCCUCGUACGUAGGCUUGUUUACGUAGCUAGAUAUAUAGUUAGUUACAUAGUAAUAUAGUUAUUACGAUAUUUAGUUAAGUAGUUGUAUACUUAGUACAUAUUAGAUGACAUGUUAGCUUGGCGCCAAGGUGAAGAUCCAUUUUUAGAAUUAGUUUCGUCAAGGGCGUAUUUGUGAAUUUUUUUGCGAAACGGGCUAAAAUAAAAAAACUUGGCCCUCACCACCCCGACCAUCACUUACCAUCACCACGAAGCAGAUUUAAUUUGUUGCUAUGAUUUUUCCUCUAAACCAUUAGACUUGGGUGGACUCCAACCCUAAAUUCUAACCCCUGAUAAUAAAUCCUACCCUACCAAGAACUUUCCGAGGUUGGAGAAGAAUAACUUAGAUCUUGUUUGAAUCCCACCAACUAAACUUUAGCUGAGAAUCUGUUUGAAUCCCUUACCUACCAUCCAGCUAAAGUUUAGCUAUUAGCUCAUUGCUCCCAGCAAGCCAUCUAAACUUUAGCCUGCGGGAUCCAAACGGGACCUUUGAAAGUGUCGUGGGAGGGGUAGAAAAGACAAUCUUUCGUUGCCUGAAAACCCUUAGCAAGCUGGCCAUUGACAUUAGCU
rnacentral:lncRNA from 1 species